UGGGGAAUAUUGCACAAUGGAGGGAACUCUGAUGCAGCGACGCCGCGUGAGUGAUGAAGGAAUUCGUUUCGUAAAACUCUGUUCUAUGGGAAGAAAAGGACUGUACCAUAGGAGAAAGCUCCGGCUAAAUACGUGCUAGCAGCCGCGGUAAUACGUAUGGAGCGAGCGUUUUCCGGAAUUAUUGGGCGUAAAGGGUGCGCAGGCGGCUUUACAAGUUGGAUGUGAAAUAUUGUGGCUCAACCACAAACGUGCAUCCAAAACUGCAAAGCUUGAGUUAAGGAGAGGUAAGUAGAAUUCCUGGUGUAGCGGUGGAAUGCGUAGAUAUCAGGAGGAAUACCGGUGGCGAAGGCGACUUACUGGACUUAAGCUGACGCUCAGGCACGAAAGCGUGGGGAGCAAACAGG
rnacentral:rRNA from 1 species